UAUUGCACAAUGGGCGAAAGCCUGAUGCAGCGACGCCGCGUGAGCGAAGAAGUAUUUCGGUAUGUAAAGCUCUAUCAGCAGGGAAGAUAAUGACGGUACCUGACUAAGAAGCACCGGCCAAAUACGUUCCAGCAGCCGCGGUAAUACGUAGGGUGCAAGCGUUAUCCGGAUUUACUGGGUGUAAAGGGAGCGCAGGCGGUGCGGCAAGUCUGAUGUGAAAGCCCGGGGCUCAACCCCGGUAGUGCAUUGGAAACUGUCGUACUAGAGUGUCGGAGGGGUAAGCGGAAUUCCUAGUGUAGCGGUGAAAUGCGUAGAUAUUAGGAGGAACACCAGUGGCGAAGGCGGCCUACUGGACGGUGACUGACGCUGAGGCUCGAAAGCGUGGGGAGCAAACAGG
rnacentral:rRNA from 1 species